rnacentral:rRNA from 1 species
CAGUCGAGCGGAUAGCAGGGAGCAAUCCUCCUUCUCUCACUCGAGCGGACGGGUGAGUAAGGCCUAUGAAUCUGCCUGGGACUGAGGGAUAACGUUCCCAACGGAACGCUAAUACCGCAUACGUCCUACGGCAGAAAGCAGGGGACCUUCAGGCCUUGCCCUAUCGCAUGAACCUAAGUCCGAUUAGCUUUUUGGUGAGGUAAUGGCUCACCAAGGCCACGAUCCCUAUCUGGUCUGAGACGAUGAUCAUUCUCACUGGAACUGAGACUGAGUCCCGACUCCUACUCCAAGCGGAGGUGGGGAAGAUUGGACUAUGGGCGAGAGCCUGAUCCUGCCAUGCCCCUGGUGUGAGUAAGGUCUUCGGAUUGUAAAGCACUUUAACUUUCGAUGAAGGGGAGUGUGCUAAUGUCCUGAACUUUUGACAUUGCCAUUACAAUAAGAACAAGCUACCUUCAUGUCCG